CCGCCCGCACGAUUUCUACGUUUCUCUGGGAUUUUACCAUAUUGUACAAGUUACCAUUACAUACAGACACUGAUCUAGGAAAAGACGUUUAGAGAAAAGUUCCUGAAACGAUGCUGUUGUCAACUUUGAUUGUUUGUUUGCUUCUUGUAAAUAGAGUGAAUACUGAGGAACCGCACUGCUCUCGAUUCCACUACGAGGAUCAACUUUUGGAUAAAAUGAUCCGGUUAGAAGUGAAAGUUGAAGCGAUGGAAAAAAUGAUAACUAACACAAACAGACAAGUUUUAGAAACAGAUAACAAUGUUAAGGAAACUCUAACUGCACUAAAAUCCGAAAGGCAUAAACUUCAGGAGGGAUUUUAAUGACCUUAAAACGAAGCUCAUGGAGGAAUCAAAAAUGAUAAAAGAUACGUUGCUGACUCCUGCAGUAUCCUUCAAAGCCCGCCAACCAAAUGACCUCAGCCUUGAAACAGGUCAAACUGUCGUCUUUUCUAAGACCAUGGCGAACCUACGGCGACGCCUAUGAUAACGUUACUGGCAUAUUUACAGCACCCACGGCUGGUACAUACAUGUUUACUAUUCAUCUGUGUAUUCUCGCUGGUUAUACUUUCUAUUAUGGCAUUGUAAGGGAAAGCGAAAUCCAAGCAGUCCGGGAGAUUCUACGAGGAUGGCUCCACUGCUUGUCACUCCACGGAUGCCAGUUAUGCUGCUGGAAGCCAGACAGAAAGUCUGGCUGAAGUGUCUAGUCGGGAUCAACAUCAGUAAUCUUGUCGGAGUAUGAUUCAACUUCGUAUAAUUACUGGAAUACAUUUUCUGGAGUGUUAAUUCAUAAGUAAAUGGCCGUGGAUGCGCCUACUUGAGAUGUUUAACCUGUCUUAUUUCCUUUCAAAACAUUGCCGUGUAAAGACAUUCUAACUGAAAAUAUGAAAGACGUUAGAGAAAUUCAUAUUCCGGCAUUAUGCAAAAACUUUGGCCUAUUGGAACUACAUUUAUCGGGAGAAAAAGAAGCAGUUUUUACACAGGACACAUUUUGACAAAACACCACUGUAACACGGUGUAUGAUUGUGACCAAACUUAGCCGGAAGUUAACGAAAUGUAAUGGACAAGCAACACAUUUUAAGUCAAAACACGGAUCGAAAGAAGGAGGAGGGUGUACAUUUCGCUGAUGAAAAUCGCAAGAAAACGUAUGAUUAACAUAAUUUAUUGUUCACGGAACCCAAGAGUGAUAUGUUACGUCUACAAUACUGUACAGUAGUAAUACACUGUCAUUUUCACAUUUUUACAUGAAGAUUUGAUUGAAGAGGGCGAGGAAUUGUUUUAUUAUUGACGAGAAUGUAUUACAUUUUAUAUUAUUUUAUGCACAGUUGCUUUAGAAUUGUACCUACCAAUAGGUUGUAUACGUUCAAUUUUUUUCAUUAAGGAAAAUAUUUACACUUUGAUUGCUCUGUGUAUAUCUGUUUUGUUUUCCUACAUUUCUAAGUUACGUUCAGUGUUAACAAAGCACCUAAUGUUUUUUCGUUUACUGAGAUAACAUGGCAUCCCAUUCAUUAUCCACAGAAUCACUUCAAGCUGUCAUAUAGAAUAUGCCUUAGAUCAUGAAUCCAAACGAUCUUCUUACAGAUAGUAUUAUUUAUUAUAUGCGAAAAUGCGGUGUGCAAUUUAUUUUCAAGAAACAUUUAUAUUCUUUCGUUAUAUAUCCAGGAAACGCUGCAGAUUCUUAGACAUCACAUCAUAUUUCUUCUUACUGCACUUUGCAUCGUUGGAGCGUGUAGUGUAAUGGCUAAAUUUUGUAUUUUAUUUUUGGGUAUUUCUUUCAGAAGUUUAAGAUUUGAAAUUACACACAAAACAUUAAUUAACAAAGUCAGACCAAACCUGUCAAAUCUACAGUAGCUUCAGGGUGUAAAACAUCCGUGAAUUAUCUAAUUUUAAUUACUAAGUUGACGGAAAGUUUAAAAAUGUGUCUGCAAUGUUUUCCUGUAUUAUCCCAUAACUCAAUAUACACUGUAAUCAGAGGGAGGGAGCAGCCCAGGUGACGAGCUAGGGAACAUGGUCCCGCUCUGAUGAGCUGAGACUCAAUAAGCAUUGUUAAAACCUAGGUUAAAAUAUAUUUAUAGAUAAGAAAUUGUAUUAACAGAGUUGUCAAUUAACUGUUUUAAGACUAACUGAACAUUGAUUAUAUCGUUGAAAUUCGACUGCACAUUUAUAAGUAACUGUGCAUAUUGCUCUUCGUAGGAAAUAAAAAUGUUAGAACUGUCA
rnacentral:lncRNA from 1 species